GCGUCGAUAGUUUAGUGGUAGAAUGUCUGACUUCCAAUCAUAUGGCCCGGGUUCAAUUCCCGGUCGACGCA
rnacentral:tRNA from 1 species